rnacentral:tRNA from 1 species
ACUCCCAUGACGCAGUGGUAGCGUGUCGUUCUUAUACUGUUGCCCGAAAGGGAAUAGUAUGGCUUCUGCCUCAUCAAGAGAUGCGAAAGUCGUGAGUUCGAACCUCACUGGGAGUA